GACGAAGGAUCCAAGCGUUAUCCGGAUUCAUUGGGUUUAAAGGGUGCGUAGGCGGCCCGGUAAGUCAGUGGUGAAAUCUCCUUGCUUAACAAGGAAACUGCCAUUGAUACUGCUGGGCUUGAGUACAGAUGCUGUGGGCGGAAUAUGACAUGUAGUGGUGAAAUACGUAGAGAUGUCAUAGAACACCGAUUGCGAAGGCAGCUCACAAAACUGUAACUGACGCUGAGGCACGAAAGUGCGGGGAUCAAACAGG
rnacentral:rRNA from 1 species